UGGAGAAGGAGAUUGCAAGAAGAAGGGCUGAGCAUAUUAACAGAGUCAGAGAGGAGCUCUCCUCCCUUACAAGUAGCAUUCAGGAGAUGGAGAAGAUGUCUCAGCAGUCACCAGGUGAAUUGCUGCAGAAUAUCGGAAGCACUUUGCAGAGGUGUGAGGAGGAGUUGCCUACGAGUUCGGUGGCUUUCCCCCUUGAACUCAAGUGGAGCAUUGUGGACAUCUGCGAUAUACAUAGCUUUCUGGAGGGCAUCAUGAAGGAAUUUAAAGGUAAU